UACGGGGGGGAGCAAGCGUUGUUCGGAUUUACUGGGCGUAAAGGGCGCGUAGGCGGUCGUGACAAGUCACUUGUGAAAUCUCCGGGCUUAACUCGGAACGGUCAAGUGAUACUGUCGGACUAGAGUACAGAAGGGGCAACUGGAAUUCUCGGUGUAGCGGUGAAAUGCGUAGAUAUCGAGAGGAACACCGGUGGCGAAGGCGGCCUUCUGGACAGUGACUGACGCUGAGACGCGAAAGCGUGGGGAGCAAACAGG
rnacentral:rRNA from 1 species